ensembl:lncRNA
CAGCCGCCGUUGCCGCUGCCUUCGGACCACGCCGUGGGCGUCUCUGCAGCAAGGGGGGCGCUUCCCGGGGGUGAGGGGCCCCGGCGCAGCUCCGAGGCCAAGGUAGGAUAGGGCUCCGAGGGCCCUCGGGGUGCAGCUGAACGUGGCGGGGUCGGCCGGAACCCAUCUGGGUACUGCAGUAGCGUCACGAGGACCGGGUGAGGAGGUAGCUGAUGCUAUGCCAGCCCCAGCAACCUAAGAGAACGCCUAUCUUCUGGGUGCCACAUGGCUGUGUAAAACUGUAUCAGCACAGUGCGGGUUUGUGUUGCAGAAUGCCACAUGCAUCUCGAGGAGUAGCUGCAGGAGUGAUGCAGUCUUCCCAACAGCAGCAAUGGUGUGUUCAUGCCUCACACAGGGAGGACCGUUCUCCAAGCACUGUUUAUUACUAUUACCUCACAACUGUAAUGACUGGACCCUCCUUUGCCGCAUGCUGUUUAAUGCACUAUUAAAUAAGCAUAUGAGUCACUGUGUCACUGUGCUUUCUUGCUGCUGUGAUAACCAGUUCAGCAUCCUAGACUUUGUUAUCCCAUGUCUUCCGAUUUACCAGCCUGCUGAGAGGGUCCUGGGCACGGACAAAGCUUCAGAAUUCUUCCAAUUUGUGGGCCUGGCGGGAAGCAGGAGGGUCUCGGCCCAGAAGGCUGGCCUGUGUCGGGCUACGCUGACCAGGUGUCUGGCCUGAUCUCCACAUGGGGCUCACACCUGCAAGUGGUCACUGCACACCAGCGGGGCUGCACCCAAAGACUCCAUCUUCUUCAUCUUUUUCUUUUUUUGUACUGGGAAUUGAACUCAGGACCCUGAGC